rnacentral:siRNA from 1 species
AACUUAACCGCUACCGCCCGCAAC